UCACAAUACUGAAUAACUAAUAUACACAUUUCUAAUUUUCUCUCAAGCUUCUUGCUGGUGUGCGGGCUAUGGAGAGUUGAUAAAUCCGUUGGUUUUCUUCUUUGUUUCUCAAUCCAACUUCAUCAAGCUUCGUUUUCCUGCAAAUUCAUACGCUUUCGAUCUCCAUUAUCUCUAAAUCCAAGUUCUAAAUUUUGUUGCUGACUGGUGAAGCUUCAGGUAUGCGGGCAGGUGGCUUUCGAGUCGACUUUAGGACUGAUAUAGUCCUUUACCUACAAAUUUUUGUUUGAGAAUUUGGGGUAAAAGUUGCUUUAAGUAAAAAUAAUUACAUGGGAAUUCAGACAAUGGGGUCUCAAGGUGAUAGUGGUAGUAAUGGAAAACAGUUGCAAUUCCAGCAGUUAACUCAGCAAAAUUCGAUGUAUAGCCUCACAUUGGAUGAGGUACAAAAUCAGCUGGGUGACUUGGGAAAACCUCUGAGUAGCAUGAACCUAGAUGAGCUUCUCAAGAAUGUAUGGACCUUGGAGGCUAACCAGACUUUCGGUAUGGACUCUGAUGGCACCGUGCUGACCAAUCAAGCUUCUCUGCAGCGUCAGGCGAGUUUGUCAUUAACUGGUGCUUUGAGCAAGAAGACAGUUGAUGAGGUUUGGAGAGACAUUCAACAAAGCAAAAAUGAUGGGGAAAAGAAAUCUAGAGAAAGGCAGCCUACCCUUGGAGAAAUGACAUUGGAGGAUUUUCUAGUGAAAGCUGGAGUUGUUGCCGAAGCAUCUACGGACGGAGACGUUGGUGCUUCUAUUGCUGGGGUAGAUCUAAGUGUUGCACCACAGUUUGCGCAGCAAGGUCAGUGGAUGCAGUACCCACAGCCACAAUAUCACCAUCCUCAACAAAGUAUAAUGGGGGUUUACAUGCCACCCCAGCCUAUGCCCCGGCCAUUAGCCUUAGGGACUGCUGCUGUAAUGGAUGUCUCGUACCCGGAGAACCAGGUACCAUUACAUUCGCCUUUGAUGGGAACAUUAUCAGAUACACAGGCAUCUGGAAGGAAAAGAGGUGCCCCCGAGGACAUAGUUGAGAAAAAUGUUGAAAGGAGACAAAAGAGGAUGAUAAAGAAUAGGGAAUCUGCAGCACGUUCACGAGCAAGGAAGCAGGCUUACACUAAUGAACUGGAGAACAAAGUUUCACGUCUAGAAGAGGAAAAUGAGAGGCUGAGGAAACGGAAGGAGCUAGAGAAGCUGCUGCCGUCCGCACCUCCUCCCGAGCCAAAAUAUCAGCUUCGUAGAACAUCAUCGGCCCCAUUCUAACAAUCCCGUAGCAGUUAGUGUGAAAGUUUUGCAUAUACAAACCAGCUUCUGGCAUCUGUUUCUGGUUUCAAUUUAGGCAUAAGGUUAGAGUCAAUGCAUCUUCCAGAGGCAGCCAUUGUUUCAUUUGCCGUUUUGUCCCUAAAGGUACAACAUAUAGUCAUAAAUAAAGACCAAGAGCCAAACCCAUGUAGCAGGUGGCCACGACCAGCCCCCAAAUCACCAGGAAGCAAAUGAGAUCCCACCAGGGCCUCCUCUAAGAAUGGCAGCUUUUGCCAAUUUAUCUGCACUCCCAUUAGCCUCCCUCUUAAUGUAAAUGAUUUCCCGGUAAAAUUUCAGUCAGAAUGGUAAUUGUUAAAUUCAUUAAGUUUUAUUAUUUUUAAAAUAUGAUGCACCAAAUAUAUUAUUAUUUGUAAUGUUAUAUUAGCUUAUUAUUUUUA